rnacentral:rRNA from 1 species
UGCCAGCAGCCGCGGUAAUACGGAGGGUGCGAGCGUUAAUCGGAAUUACUGGGCGUAAAGCGUGCGUAGGCGGCUUGUUAAGUUGGAUGUGAAAGCCCUGGGCUCAACCUGGGAACUGCAUCCAAAACUGACAAGCUAGAGUGCGGAAGAGGAGUGUGGAAUUUCCUGUGUAGCGGUGAAAUGCGUAGAUAUAGGAAGGAACACCAGUGGCGAAGGCGACACUCUGGUCUGACACUGACGCUGAGGUACGAAAGCGUGGGGAGCAAACAGGAUUAGAUA